AUUGAACGCUGGCGGCAGGCCUAACACAUGCAAGUCGAAUGGUAACAGGAAGCAGCUUGCUGCUUCGCUGACGAGUGGCGGACGGGUGAGUAAUGUCUGGGAAACUGCCUGAUGGAGGGGGAUAACUACUGGAAACGGUAGCUAAUACCGCAUAACGUCGCAAGACCAAAGAGGGGGACCUUAGGGCCUCUUGCCAUCGGAUGUGCCCAGAUGGGAUUAGCUAGUAGGUGGGGUAACGGCUCACCUAGGCGACGAUCCCUAGCUGGUCUGAGAGGAUGACCAGCCACACUGGAACUGAGACACGGUCCAGACUCCUACGGGAGGCAGCAGUGGGGAAUAUUGCACAAUGGGCGCAAGCCUGAUGCAGCCAUGCCGCGUGUAUGAAGAAGGCCUUCGGGUUGUAAAGUACUUUCAGCGGGGAGGAAGGGAGUAAAGUUAAUACCUUUGCUCAUUGACGUUACCCGCAGAAGAAGCACCGGCUAACUCCGCG
rnacentral:rRNA from 1 species